rnacentral:rRNA from 1 species
GGGUUGUCAUGCCAAUGGCACUGCCCGGUAGCUAAAUGCGGAAGAGAUAAGUGCUGAAAGCAUCUAAGCACGAAACUUGCCCCGAGAUGAGUUCUCCCUGAGACUUUAAGUCUCCUGAAGGAACGUUGAAGACGACGACGUUGAUAGGCCGGGUGUGUAAGCGCAGCGAUGCGUUGAGCUAACCGGUACUAAUGAAUCGUGAGGCUUAACCUUACAACGCCGAAG